GUUUUGGCGGUGGUACUGCUGGAGGGUUUGACGGUUGUCUUCAAGGUGAAGGGCUUGGUGUGCGUUGUCUUGGAUGAUGUGGUGGUAGUUGGUUUAGCGGUUGUUGUCUUGAUAGUUGUUGUC